UACAGAGACUGCGAGCGUUAUUCGGAUUCACUGGGCGUAAAGGGUGCGCAGGCGGCCAUGUGUGUGAGGCGUGAAAGCCCAGGGCUUAACCCUGGAAUUGCACCUCAAACUACAUGGCUAGAGCAUUGGAGAGGGAAGCGGAAUUGCUAAUGUAGAGGUGAAAUUCGUAGAUAUUAGCAGGAACACCGGUGGCGAAGGCGGCUAUCUGGACGACAACUGACGCUGAGGCGCGAAAGCGUGGGGAUCAAACAGG
rnacentral:rRNA from 1 species